UCUAUAAUAGGUAGUGCUAGCUGUGCUAGUGACCCUAUAGUGCCCUGUACUAUUUAUAAUUUGACUAUUAUUAUUGGCAAGAGAUGGGAUGGAGGAGGAGGACCACUGUUUUCAGAAUAACCCUCCCAAAAGGAUAAAACAAAGACCAUGUUGUGUUCAGGAAUGUACAGAUUUCUCUAGUAAGCGGCAUCGGUUUCCGAAAAACAAUCGCAGGCUCCUAAGGGCUUGGAUAAAAGCUGUAAGACCAAAACAUUCUCCAGAGAAGAUUGUGUGCCAGGCACAGUUGGAGGUCUUAGAAUUAAUGCAGUCCCUACUAUUAAUCUACCAGUGGAUCAGGACAUCGAAGUAAGGGAUGAUUUGUUUGAAAAUACAGUAAUGUCAAUUGAUUGUGACAGUUCAUCUAUGGGAAUAGAUCUUAUAACACUACCAGAUCCCAUACUUAGCCAAAAUUUCCCUUUAACAAAUAUCAGUCAACAAGAGAAUAGGCCCAUGUCUGCUUCCUUUAAUUAUUUAGGAAAUACUUCUGCCUGCAUGCCUGUUCAGAGUUCAAAUCCAGUUAUAGCAGAGGUCCCUCUCAAGGUCCCCCUGGAAGGUUGUAUGGGCAAUAAGAUGGAUCUAAGUGACUUAUCAUUGGGUCACAAAUAUUUCAAAAUAAUAGAAAAUCAUCCCAACAGAAAAUUAUCCAGUACUCGUGGUAAAAUGAAAAUUUCAGGAGAGCACUUUUGGUGCUUACACUAUGAGACUUAACGAAUGUAGACUAAAUGUAGAAAAUACAUGGACAUCCCACCUUUUUUCUUUGUACUUUUCAUAUUUCAUUACAUUACAAUUACAUUUUAUCUUGAAUAUCCCAUAAUUUUAAGUACGACUAAUUAUAAUUUCAUGAUAAUAAACAGUUUGUAAAUAAAAUAUGGGUAUAACUUUA